CCUGGCUCAGAAUGAACGUUGGCGGCGUGGAUUAGGCAUGCAAGUCGAGCGCUCGUAGCAAGUACGGGAGCGGCGAACGGCGUAGGACAACAUAGGAACGUACCCUCUGGCCGGGGAUAGCUACGGGAAACUGUAGGUAAUACCCGAUGAUCUCUGCGGAGCAAAGGUGUGAUUCCGCCGGGGGAGCGGCUUAUGCGAUAUUAGCUAGUUGGUGGGGUAAUGGCCCACCAAGGCGAAGAUGUCGUAGGGGGUGUGAGAGCAUCGGCCCCCACGACCGGAACUGAGACACUGUCCGGACACCUACGGGUGGCUGCAGUCGAGAAUCUUCCGCAAUGGACGAAAGUCUGACGGAGCGACGCCGCGUGCGGGAUGAAGGCCCUUGGGUUGUAAACCGCUUUCGGGGGGGAUGAAAUCUCUAAGGGUACUCCCUCAGAGUUGACAGAGCCCCAAAAGAAGCACGGGCUAAGUACGUGCCAGCAGCCGCGGUAACACGUACUGUGCGAACGUUAUUCGGAAUCACUGGGC
rnacentral:rRNA from 1 species